rnacentral:tRNA from 1 species
AGGCGCGUCGUAUAAUGGUAGUACAGGGGUCUCCAAAGCCCUUAGCGAGGGUUCGAUUCCUUCCGCGCCUGCCA